UACGUAGGGGGGCAAGCGUUGUCCGGAAUUAUUGGGCGUAAAGAGCGCGUAGGCGGUCCGAUAAGUCGGCUGUGAAAGUCAGGGGCUCAACCCUUGAAAGCCGGCCGAUACUGUCGGACUAGAGUCCGGAAGAGGCGAGUGGAAUUCCCGGUGUAGCGGUGAAAUGCGCAGAUAUCGGGAGGAACACCAAUGGCGAAGGCGCGAGCCUGGUC
rnacentral:rRNA from 1 species